UGUUUCUAUAUUUCUUUCACUUUUUCCUUAUCUUUUUUCUCAUUUUUUUGCUAUCUUUUCCUCUCAAACUUACACCAAUCUGAGACCCUUAGACUAGAUGUAGCACCUCCCUUAAAUAGGAAAGGAAGGGGUGCCACAUCCUCUCCAAGGGAUGCCAACCUUUGGCGCACAACCUCCUCCACCCGGUGCCUUUCUUCGAUUUCCACAAAAAUUAAGGCACAACACCGAAUACAAGG
rnacentral:lncRNA from 1 species